rnacentral:miRNA from 1 species
GAAGCCUGGGCGUGUGACUCCUGCCUGGACACAUCCUUGGGACCUUCACAGUGAGGUUAAGGAUGUACACUGCAGAGCUCGGAGCCCAGGUUGCAGUUCCCAGCUCUCACUCCCUUGGCCUGCAGGGAGCUCCU